UACGUAGGGGGCGAGCGUUGUCCGGAAUCAUUGGGCGUAAAGAGCGUGUAGGCGGCUUGGCAAGUCUGACGUGAAAGCCCGCGGCUCAACCGCGGAUUGUCGUUGGAAACUGCCUCGCUAGAGUCCGGAAGAGGAGAGCGGAAUUCCUGGUGUAGCGGUGGAAUGCGCAGAUAUCAGGAAGAACACCCGUGGCGAAGGCGGCUCUCUGGGACGGUACUGACGGCUGAGACGCGAAAAGCGUGGGGAGCGAACAGG
rnacentral:rRNA from 1 species